GAGCUGAACUCCAAGGAAAGGUUUCCCUCGAGGUUAAGCCAGGCUGCCUGAAAGCAAUAUGACUGUCGCCCUGGUCACGUUAUCUGAACCGCAGGAUUUCCUAGGGUUUAGGUUUCCAAUGCUUCACUCUGAUUUCUUGGGGUGAUAAGUAAGCUUACUCAUUUUGAAACGCCUUUUUUUUGUUUUGUUUUUAGUGGUCACCCUUAGAUAGCAGCAAACCCUUAGAUAAUUUUUCUUAUGCGUAGGGCAGGGAAGAGAUUUGCCUUCGAUUGUUACCUUUUACCAGAAUGUCCUUAAGGAAACCCCUCCCCCCUUUCCUUCCAGACUUCGCGAAACACAAAACCAUCUACUGUGAAGAUCCCCCUGUAUCUGGCGAGUUUUAGUUUUAUUCUCAAUUCCUUGAGAUGCAGAGAUCAGGUCGCCCACACACUAGUAGUUAAAUAUGGUGAGUGGGAGAAGCUGUCUUUCACCUUUAGCCAAAAAUCUUUUACGUUGUUUCUGCCCUUUGCCUGGUCACCCAUCUGCUUUGGAAAUCAGAAAACGAGUUAUAAAGCCUAAUUGGACUCAAACUGUAAGAGAAAAAGCAAAAGCGGGGGGCGGGGGGGGGGCGUAAGAAGAGAAAGGCUGUUCACGAAUCUACUCGUCCCAUCCCCCACCCCCUCCCCGGCGUCCAUGCAGACUUCUCCAGAGUCUGGAUCACUAAAGAACAGUGGCCAAGUGGCCACUUUUGCAUCUGAGAAUUGUUUCGUUGAGGCGAAGCCCCACCACACCGGGAUCCUUAUUAUCACGUGAAGCAGCGAAGGAGGAAGGAACGUCGUCCUUGGGCGGUAACAGAGGAGCUGAUGAAGUCCUGUUUCUGAAAGCCUUGUCUCCUAAGACGGAAAACCUGGAGAGAGUACCUCAGUUUUCACUGAUGCUCACAAUAAGAUACCAAACACACACACACACACACACACACACACACACACACACACACACACACACACACACACACAGCAAGACUUCACGAGUAAGGCUUAUCCCCACGAUAAGCAUGUCACCUGCCUGCCUGCCUGCCUGCCUUCCUCACUUCCCUUUUCUCCCCCGGGUUUUAAACGCGACCCUCAGCCCACUAAAUCGACUCCUUCAUAUGAAGACGUGGCAACCCCUGCGCUCUGAAAAACACUCCGUGGUUUGCCCUUUUAUUUCUCUCACCCUGUAACUCAAUAUUAGAGUGAUUCUGAAUUGAGGACAAGCCUGAUGAGUUUGAGGCGUGGGAUAAAGGAAUCCGACCAGCUCUGAGCUCAUUGUGUUUUUAAACCUUGCUCUGUGUGUUCAUUCUCGCCACAGCGAGGAUGCUAUUAUCUUUGCUCAGAGAGCAGACAGUCCCGGGCCUGUUUCCCCCUGUUUCUCUUUGAUCCCUGCAGCCAGCCCAGCCCAGCCCCCAGCCCUCGGUUCAGAUUGGCAGAGGCUACUGGGACUCUGGGAAUUUGCGGGGCUGCAGCCUGCUGAGCGUUCACUGCUCCACCCGACCACCUCCCUGCUGAGCGUUCAUUCUGGAUCUUUGGCGUCCAGGGUUGAUUUUUUGCGCUUUUCUGGUGUUUAUUCUCGAACUGCACACGGGCUUUUUAGUUUGUUGCUCAGGAGAUGACAAAAGCGAGUGAAGAUUUUGUUUUAGUCGUGUGUUUGCUUAGCUAGGACCUCAUCAGGGAAGAAUUUGUCCACUCAAAAGGUGCUUUUGUAAAGCAAUUAAAAAUUAGUAAGUGUU